CAGUAGCCGCGGUAAUACGUAGGGUGCAAGCGUUAAUCGGAAUUACUGGGCGUAAAGCGUGCGCAGGCGGUUUGUUAAGACAGAUGUGAAAUCCCCGGGCUUAACCUGGGAACUGCAUUUGUGACUGGCAAGCUAGAGUAUGGCAGAGGGGGGUGGAAUUCCGCGUGUAGCAGCGAAAUGCGUAGAUAUGCGGAGGAACACCGAUGGCGAAGGCAGCCCCCUGGGCCAAUACUGACGCUCAUGCACGAAAGCGUGGGGAGCAAACAGGAUUAGAUACCCCUGUAGUCCCUGUCUCUUAUAC
rnacentral:rRNA from 1 species